CUCCACCGAUGACCCUAUUUUUCUGCCCGUGUCUGGGCCACUGAUGUACACUGGUGGGACUGAGGAACUGAGGAG